rnacentral:lncRNA from 1 species
UUUUUUUUUCCUAUGUUUCAGCUUUUACAGCAAUAUUUCCUAUAGCUUGUAGAGUUUGAAUGUAUGAGCAUGAAGGUGUUUAGAUCUACUUAUUGAACUCGAGGGUUGUGUCCACCAACUGAAGGUUACUUUUAAGGUUGUGAAAAGUUUCUUACUCCACUUUCGAAACUGUUCUAUUGCUGAAAGCAGGCUGCAAAUAUUUUUGAACCAUCGUGCUGGUGCUUGCAGAAAGGUGAAGCAAUGUGAAAAUUAACCUGGCUUUUGCAUAUGCAUGAACCCAGUAGUCAGGUUGGGUUGAUAACUUGUCUUUUCUUUGACCUAACGGGGUGUCAGAAAUUGUUUAGUGCUCACUGCGGGAUUUUCUGCCCAGAAUAAUUGCAGAGACCUGGAGAUAUGCUCCGAAGCCUCAGGUUCCAUGUCUUUCGGUUUUGAGGAUGAAAUCUGAGUGGAAUGAAUGAGAUUAUGUAAAAAUAUAAUUUGAGAGGCUUGGGUACUUAGGGAGGAAUGCCGUUUCUCCCCCCUUCAUUUCCCCAGAUGAGUGUCUAAGGGGAGGACUGUGAAGAUGGAGAAAUUUGGAAUAAUGGUGCUACUUCCUUGACGUAGCUAUCUUGUAAAGCAGCCUUUUAAUUGUAGGAUCCUUGUUUGACUUUCUCAGUAAAUCACAACAAGUGCACUGCUCUCAUGACGGAAUUGUACCUCUGUACACCCACAGUUCUGUCCUUCCACAGCUGGAAGAGAUACUUAGGGUUUUCCCAGGGAUGUGACUUUGUCAUGGAAACUGCUCUCCCUACUAGUAAAAUUGUGAACGUUUUCAAUUUCCUCAUGGGAAGAAGGAGAAUAAAAUUAAUUCCAAGGCUGAAAAUGUUGAAUGGCAUUCCCAGACUCACUGGUGGUUUAUAUAACGGAAUCUGUCACUUCAGAAAAUUCAUAACCCAAUCUCUCUUCAUAGUACAAGCAGUCUUGUAAUUUAACAGCAUAAGAAAAUUCAAGAAUGCCAAUGUGGACACCCCUGUGUUUCACUGCAGGAAAGAAUUACAGCAGAGUUCUCAAGAAUUCUAUUGUGCGGGAAUACCAAUGACAUAUAAAAUGCUGGUAUUCAACUCACUAAUAUGCCUUUCUUUUACACUAUGACUCAAUUGAGUGAGGGAAAAACACCCAAAGAAAAAUGUACUGUAUUUUGAUUAUUACAAAAUCAUAGCCAUGUUUUCCAUCAAAAUAAUUUUAGUAAGUGUAUACCACAAAAUCACAGAAAAUACUGCUCCUAUAAAUAUAGAUAGCAGCACAAGAGGUGGCUGAGUCAGUGUGAGGAAUAACAGGGUUUUACUGGCAAAAGGGUGGUAUUUUGAAUACUCAUAAUUUAUUUACUCUAUCUAUCUUAAAAUUUCAACCCAUCAAUUAUACAUGAAACUGGAUACCAUAGUACAGGAGGGGACUAAACAGCAAGUAUUCAUUUCCAGCUCUAACAUCACACUUCUUAAACAAGUCCUGCUCCUUAACAUAUUGGUAGGGCAGAUGGAUAAGUGUUGGUAGAUAAGAGAUUUAUAGCUUGGCAUUAUUUAACUUCUUUGUAAUUUGCUUUUACUAGUGCCCUUGAGACACAUUUUUUCAGAAAGUCUGAUUUUUCUGCAUUUAUUCUUGUAAUGGUAUAUUGAGAGUUGUUAAGGAAAUUAAAGUCCCAUUUCAGGCCUCAGUUCAACAAAGCAUUUAAGUAUCUAAGUAAUGCUUAACUUAAAGUACAUCUUAAACCAAAUUCCAUUUAACAAAGGCAAAAAGAGAGAAGUCCUCAGAGGGAUUUCUCCACAUGGUUAAAGUUGAAAGUGGUUUUUUUAUUAUUACUAUUAUUAUUUGGUGGGUUUUUUUUUGUUUGUUUGUUUGUGCCUUUUUAUUUUUUCUUUUUUUUUUCUUUUUUUUGCUUAAGUGUGGUUGUGAUGCUUGCAUCACAGAGUCAAGAGACUUCUUAUGGAAAGAGGAUAUCUCUUGUUGAUGAGAACUACCAAGAGAUAUGGUGAAGAAGGCAGGAAACUUUUGUCAAAUUUUAGGACAGAAUAUAGAAUAACCUGGAUUUACUGUGCUUAGGGGGACUGUUGUGAUACAAAAAGAAAAAAGGGAAGGGAAGGGGAAAAGAAGGAGAGGAGAGGAGAGGAGAGGAGAGGAGAGGAGAGGGACAAGAUAAUUUGCAAUAAAAAAGAGCUGUAUCUUAGCUCUGGAACUUAGAGUGCAGACAUAUUCCCCUGAGACUUAGUGACACUGGAGGCUUUGCUGAAAAACUGAAAAAAAAAACACUUGACUAAACAGGAGCUGAGAGACUCCCAGUCAACCUGGCAGCUAAAUCCCCAUUAUCUUUCUGUCACUGAUAAUACUUCCCCUCUUUGUAACAUUAUCUUUGCUCCCUGUUCCAGAGAAGUUUUAGGGUGCUAGAUUGGAGUUAAUGACUAAUUUAAAUAGUUUGUCUAGUACCAUUCCAGGUCCUGCUAAAGGACUUGACAAGUUUUGAUAUCUCUCUGUCAGGUUGGUAUUGUGGAGCACGAUUUGUACCUCUGUAUCUCCUCAGCAGAUUGCAUGAUAUACAUUCCAGCUUUCAAAGCAAAGCACUGCCAAAAGCAUUUGAAUCCACUUUACCUUACCCAAUAAUUGGAAGCUGUUAUUUAUACCAGCAAAACCAGUUACAGUUGUUUUCUUGUAUGGAUAACCUGCUGAUGAAAAUUCAUAGUUUGCAUUCAUGGAGAGUACCUGUGUAUUCACCAGGAGAGUACCUGGUGGCUUUGUGCUUGGCAGUCUAGAGUGAUAGAAGAUAAAAAUCCACAAGGCUGCCUGUGAAGACCCUUAGAAGAUGAAUUGUAAGGGAAAGUAUCUUUCUAGCUAAAUAAGCUCAUUUUCAUACUAGUUCGGGGAAGCUUCAAGGAAUAUAAAGAUAUACACCAAGUAUAAAAGUCCAAUGAGGACAUCAAAAAAUUUUUCUACUCGCUAUUUUCCAUCAUUAGAGAGAAUAAACUGUCUCUAAAAUGCAAGUGAUAGAAGUUGAGGCCUGCAAACUGGUCAUUUUUCCAAAUGACCGUGUAGAGAAACCUCAGACUCUGUAGCUUUGUUAAUUAUGUCUCUGUAUUUCAGCAUGUGAAUGAAAGCUUUUAGCAACCUUACAGAAAAUGUAUAAAGGAGCCUGCAGAGUCCAAACAAAAUCACAUCAGUAUGCAUCUAGAGAUAAGAAGAGAUACUCUUUUAUUUAUGUAGUAGCAAAUUGUUAUUAAGUAGAAUAAAGUUGCUACAAGAUUGAUAUGACACUGCACGGUCCAUUUCACCAUGUUUUUAGCUUAGCUUCAAGACACAACCUCAUUUGGGUACUUUUAUUAAGUUUGUCUGAAGAGGGCAGCCUUUCCUAAAGCACUUGGAAUGUUCUUAAUUUGGCGAGGUUGCUGUGUGCUGAACAAAUUGACGAGGGGCGUGCUUACAGUCCGGAGCUUGCCUCUCAUUCUUGCUUAUGUUUUCCUUCAAGUGUCUUUCCACUUAUGUUUAUCAGCCAACUCAAAACAAUAUUAUUAUAUUAAAUAUUUGGCCUAUCUGCUGAAAUAUAUUCCAAUUUCACUUAUUCUAAACAAGUGAAGAAUUGCUGUACUGAUUUCCAGAAAGAUAUUUAAAUAGGAGUUUUUUGGACAUUUCUAAAAAUAUGGGUGAUGCUUAUUCAUUCUGCAGUCUGGAAAUAAGUGCCUUAAGUUCUAAGUCUGUAUGUGAAUACAGCAGGGAAAUAUUCUUCCCUUUCUUUUGGGAGUUCUCCUUAUCUUUCAUGCUCCCAAUCCUGAGCUAUUCUUCAGGCUUCAGAAAGAAGCAUUACACUGAAAGUAGAUAGAGUGAUGUUACUGUUAUUUUGUGCUUUAAUCAUAAGGAAACAUUAAAAAAAAAACCUUACAGCAAAUACAUGCAUAACAAUGUAACCAGGAAAGAUGAAUGGCUACUCCACAUUUAGCAAUUAGUCUGAUAGAUUUAAGGGCUUUUAGAAGAAUUUAUUGCCAUGGUGUGCCUCGAUCAUGGUGCAGGGAGGGGCAUCUGAAGAAGCAGGAAUGAAAUAUUUUCUCAGUUAUUGCUGCUCUAGCCACUAUGUCGCAUCUCUCCUACCACAGUGACAGGCAUGUUGGAAUGCCUGUCUCACUUUGUGAUUUAGAUUGUAUGGUGGGCCUGGGGGAGCAUGAGCCCAGGCAGAACUUGAGGAGCGUGCGCAGGGGCUCAGAUGGGGAGGAGAGCCUAAAGACUUGUGCUUGUGGAAGGGGAAGGUUGGUGGAGGCAAGAGGAGUAGGAUCUCACAGCUUUUAUAUAAACGAGCGCUCUGUUUGCGGAAAAAUGUUGUCUGGAUUAGUGGGCUGUCUAUACAACAAUCAUGUCCAACACAUUGCUUUGGCAAUAACCAUGGUGAUGUGGAUCCUUUGCAAAACUGUAUUCUCUGUAGAAAUGUUUGCAACAAGAUGGAAGUGCUUUAUUUGCCCAAGAACCCAGAAAGUUUGCCAUGGUGGCUGAUAGGUAGUAAACCAUGUACUUCACCAUCAUAGCAGCUGUCACCCAUGUCAGACAUAUUAUACUAACCCUUACAACCAUCAGAAUGCAUUAUAAAAGUCACCCUCUUUAUUUGCGAGCUUCUUAGGUCAGCUGCUGAUUAUAGAAUAUCAGUACUGAUUUAAAUUCAAAUGAUCCUUUUUGCACUUGGUGUCUUUUUAAUCUUUUUAGGAAAAUGAGUGCAAAACUAAAUUUCUGUACUGUCACUAGAGCCAAAGUAGCAAACAACUGGAUUUCCUCCUUCCACAAGCCUGUACUACAAUUUAAUGCAGCCAGGCAUUUAUGCUACCAAACUCAUUGCAAUCUAAGGUCACCAAGUGAAUUUAUCUUCUCAUGUCUUCUGAUCUGAUAACUGAUCUGAGAAACUUUUCCUCCCACCUCAUCCCUUCUGUAGCAGUUACUUGCUCUGAAGUCAAGGUGGUCUGCCUCAUCUCCUUCCAACCUGAGAUUCUUCCAAGGACUGGACCACUUUGAAAAGUAUUAGGCUAGCUCCUCAUCCUGCUUUAUUGUUCUAUUGCUAUGAAGCACAGCAGGAAUUUCAUUGCCUCCCUAUUUAAAAAGUAACUCAACUUUUAACACAUCACAAAUGUAGUUGCAUACUUUUAAUGUGGUGUUAAAGAUGUCAGAUACCCUUCCUGCAGCCCAAAGACACACUAGCGUGUUUCUUCCUAAAUCCUGUAAGAAAUUACACCUUAAUUGUGUUUAUAUCACUGUUUUCUCUUGAGACAACAUCUAACUGAAAUUGAU